CUGUCUGCAUGGUCUUACUUCUAUGUAUAUAUGUACGUGCAACUUUACCGCAUAUAUACGUCAGUACGUAACUAUAUACCUGUAUGUAUAUGCAUGUAUGGGCAUAGAACGUGGACGAUAUCUACUCUCUUUGUCUUUGUCUAUCUUUAUCUUUAUCUCUCUCUCUCUCUCUCUCUCUCUCUCUCUCUCUCUUUCUCUUUCAUAUACCCCCACCCUUCCCUCAACUUUAUACACAUACACACAUGCAUACACACAGUAAACAUAUACACGUAUAUACUUUACCUUUUCUCAUCCUCAUCAACCAUACUCUUUUACGAUAGCAUACUACGUAACGACCGAACUAUUUAUGUAAGCGUCAACCAAGUUGGCGCGAGCAAGCGAGAAGGGGGUGCGGCUGGGAAUGGAAUCGAAUGGGAUGGGAUAAGGGAAGGGGAAAGGGGACAAUUAAGUAUGGCGCGUGCCGUUCUUCUGCAUAGUUAUUAAGCCUCCCCUCGAACGGUUUACGAGGGUAUGAGUACAUUGUUCAAUAUAUAAUGAGAGUAGAAUUAUUCCUAAUCGUUAUGGAAAUAAAUUAUAGGUAAGCAUUAAUUUCGUUCGAUGAUUCAUAAACGGUCGUACGUAUAAUAAAAAUUUUUCUUACUUUUCCAUGGACGAGUUUGAGUGAAAAUAUCAACGAAUAAUUUAAUAAUUAGAUUUAUAAAUGCUUAUUAUAUACAUAGGUAUUAAUCAUUCGAACGAUUAUGUUAGAUCCAUUAUAUUUGUGUUUAUAUUAAUUUUUUAUCGCUUUGAUUUUUGUAACAAUUAGAUUGUAGUAUGACAAAUGUAUUCACGUAUAUCUUCUUUCGUUUUCUUUAUUUUUCUGCUUUUUAUUUCUUCUUCUUCUUUUUUUCCUUUCUUUUUUUUUUUGUUCAUACAUCCCAGAUAGAAUUUUCAAUGUUAUAUACGAUAUGAUAUUGUCGUAGAUAAAUCGUCGAUAUUAUUCAUCGCACGUAGACAACGCGAUCGUGUUUCAUAAAAGACAUAGAUCCGAUUUGAUCCAAAGAACGGAAACGUUCAUAAUAAUUUAAAAGAUUUUCUAAAUGAUCGUAGAGACACAUCGAAAAUAGGUGAGAGGUGAAGUUCGAGGUCGAGUUUAGUUUCGUCGUUGGCAAGUUCCGCGUUUACUCAGUCUUCGAUCGUCCUUUACGAACUGCCUUACUGAAAUGCCUUUGAAAGCUGUUAUUAAAGAUCGUGAGGAAAGUGUUAAUGCCUCGUUAUUAUGAUACUCGAAAGUUUUCAUGAUCCUUGUAAAACUUGCAUUCAUUCAAAAUAUAAAAACAUAUAUACGUUAAAAAUGUUAUUAAUUUUUCUAUUAUUUGAAUUUGGCAUUGGAUGUUUUCCAAUACGAACGAAAGAGAAACAAGAAGAAAAAGUGAGAGAUGAAAGAAUCAAAAUAAAAGGAAGAAAAAAAGAAGAUUAGAGAAGAGAAGAGAAGGAAGAAAGAGAAGAAGUAAAAAGAAAAAGAAAAAAGAAAAAAAAAAAAAGAAGAAAAGAAAGAAAAAGAAAGACAGGUGAUAUUCUCUGAGACGAUGCGCGACUUUACACCGAACACUCUCAGUUGUACGCGUAUGUAACGGCAUCGUGCCAGUUUGUGUGUUUGAGAGAGUUAACUGACCUCGCAUAACCCUGAAGGGAGAGCGAGCUAUUAACGUGGCGUAUGCCAUUCAUUCUUGCCGCGUCCCUCGGUUUUCCCUCUCUUCCUCUUUCUCGCACUCGCACUCGCUCUCUUUCUCACACCAACACCGGCCGACCUUUACUUCCCUCGUAUUACGAGCGCGUACACAAACGUCGAAAACGGCGUGUAUCGUACCGCCGGCUAAUGGUCUUACGGUGCAUAGUUCGAGUCCAUUCAUAACUCGACGAAUGGGAAGAGCCUGAGUGUGUAUGUAUAUGUGUGUCUGUAUGUGUAAGAGAGAAAGAGAGAGAGAGAGAGAGACCCCCUAUAUACUCUACGGAUUCGUCACCGGUACGCGAGAAUACCACCAAUACCAACUUGGUCGACACCGAUACGUUCCUCGGAGGAAAAAGAGAGACAGAAAGAGAAAGAGAGAGAAGAAAAAUAGAUGUGGCGAAAGAGAGAGAGAGAGAAAGAGAGAGAGAGAAAAAUAGGUCUCUGCACGUAUGCCAAUGUCGUGGCUAUUCUUGCGUGGGAGAGGAGUCGUGAUACUGACUCUGAACACGUCCUCCCCUCAACAUCAUUUGCAAUGUUAGUUGAUAAUACGACGAAAUGAUCUUCGUCGAUCAUUUUCAAUCCGUAAUUUAUUUAAUUAAAACGUAUCUUUAUGCUUUGAAAAUCAACGGGCGUUUUCCUUUAUACGACAAAUGGUAUUAAUUUUGUAAAUGUUUCUCUGCGUUGUUUCUUUUUAUUUUUUCUUUUUCUUUUUAUUUUUAUCUUAUCUUUUUUUUUUUUUUUUUUUUUUUUUUUUUUAAUCUGCACAGGAUAUACGCAAUUUUUUUGGGAAUAAAAAUUUUUGCAGGAUCACGUUGAUCGAAUAAAUCGUGCACGAUCCUUUUAAAUAUUUUCUUUUUCUGUUUCUUUUCUUUUUUUCUUUCUUUCUUUCUUUAUUUCUUUCUUUCUCUUUUCUCCGUACGAUAAAUUUGUAUGUAUAAUUUAUCUUCAAAGGCUUUUAUAUAUAUCAAAGGGUUCAAAUUGGUACUCUCGUUGAUACUUGACUUAAUUUAAUUAUCACGAAGUAAUUAGUUUCAUUAGGAUUGUAUCAUUAACUUCUGUUCCAUAUUUCGUUACUUUUAAUAAUUAAAUAACGUUUAUGAUAAGAAAAAAAGGAAAAAACGAAAAAGAAAGAAAAGAGAAAAAGAAAAAAAAAAGAAAUAAAUAAAUAAUGCACGCUGAUUAAAAAAUACCGGU